rnacentral:rRNA from 1 species
AAUGAACGUUGGCGGUGUGCUUAACACAUGCAAGUCGAGCGAGAGAGUCUCUUCGGAGAUGAGUAAAGCGGCGAACGGGUGAGUAACGCGUGAGGAUCUGCCUUUAAGUGAAGGAUACCCUUGAGAAAUUAAGGUUAAUACUGCAUACGUCCGUCAUUAACAUGACGGAGAAAGAUGGCUUAGGCUGUCGCUGAAAGAUGAACUUGCGUUCUAUUAGCUAGUUGGUGGGGUAAAGGCCUACCAAGGCGAUGAUGGAUAGCCGGCCUGAGAGGGUGAACGGCCACAUUGGAACUGAGAAACGGUCCAGACUCCUACGGGAGGCAGCAGUGAGGAAUAUUGCACAAUGGGCGAAAGCCUGAUGCAGCGACACCGCGUGAAGGAUGAAGGUCUUAGGAUUGUAAACUUCUGUUAAGUGGGAAAAAAGAAUCGCUUCAAAUAAAAGCGAGAGAUGAUGGUACCACUAGAGAAAGCACCGGCUAACUUCGUG